ensembl:lncRNA
GUGAAUGCAGCAGAAGAGGUCAGUUGGUAAAGUGACAGCCACCACAGACCUCUGGUCUGAUGGAGUUGGCUCAGAGUAACCCUCCUUUCUCAUGUUAGCAGCUCUACAACGUUAAAUUUAGUUUUUCCUUUUAAGUUUCUUUUUAAAAUGCAAACUUCACAUAAACAGUCUAGCCCUAAACUGGGCUGCUAUCGGGCAGGAAAGGAAAUGGAAAAAGCAGCUGACAUGUUGUUUGGGCUUUGGGGCGGGGAGGCUGAUAACCCCUAGACAGAUAGACCAAGAGUUGCUUUCUCACCCUUCCUGUCCGCGAUGCUGCAGCAGAACUAUGGGGCUGCAUUUUUAAGGCACCUUCUGAAAACCUCCCAUCACCUUUGUUUGCACAGAGAAGCAGGUCAGCGAUGAGACUGCCUUUUCUGCCGAGCUCCAUGGCAAAGGUGUGGCUGCAAUGAUGCAUCCUGUUGACCGAAGCUAGUGAUGCCCCCCCUUUGUCUUUUGGGGGCACUUUUUGCUCUUCCUCUAUGGUCACUAAUGUAGACGAACAUGACUCAAAGUCCAGAGAACCUGUGAAGUAGACACUUCAUUUUGUUCAGGUUCCCUCUAGUGGGAGGAACUGGCUUCUCUUCAAUCUCUUGAAUAAAGCUGGUAUAAACGUAGAACUGAUUCUCAGAUUGCGAUCCAUUCCUCAUUUACUGAAUUAAUCACUCAAGUCAUCAAGAAAAAACCUUUGAAAUGGAUUGGUUUUUGUCUUCUGAAUUCAUCAACUUAUUCCUGGGUUUACAAUCUUGUAUAAUGUCACAGCUUCUGGGAAGCUAUACUGCCAGCAAAUGAAGAUCUUGACUAAAGAUGGGGAAUGUACAUAUUUCUACAUUUAUUUUUCCUUUAUUUACAUACCCAGUGUGUUCAUCAAAAUGAUGCAUAAACAUGAAUAAUGGAUGAAUUAAGAAUGUUUAGCAAUUAUUUUUAACAGUUAAAGAAAGACAUGAAAAAGUAUUUUACAUCACAGAUUUGUAUGUAAGCAUCAUGUGCUACCAUUCAACAAGACCUAGACAGACUGGAGAGUCGGGCAGGGAGGAACCUGAUGAGAUUUAACAAGAGCAAGUGUAGAGUCUUGCACCUGGGGAGGAAUAACCGCAUGCAUCAGUACAGGUUAAGGGAUGACCUGCGGGAGAGGAGCUCUGUAGACAAGGAUCUGAGUACCCUUCUGAACACCAACCUAUGCAACCUACUGUAGGGUGCCUGCCUGCUUUAGCAGGGAGUUGGAUUUAAUGACCUCUUGAGGUCCCUUCCAACCCCUGCAACUCUGUGAUUCUGUGAAUAUUUAAAAAGGUAUGUAAUUUAUCUAGGUACGUAUACAAAAUUCUGAAUACAUUAUAGCAAAAGCUUUAUUUACCUCGGAGAUAAAACACUUUCCCUUUUCAAUUGUUUUUAUUUGCUUCUCUUUGUAAAAAAUCAGAAGAUGUUUUUAAAGUCUUGUUCUAUCCACACAGGAGUUAUGUUUAUCUGCCAAUGAUUAUUCUCCUCAAACGCAAAAGUCUAGAAUCAAAUGUCCUAAAUGUGGCUGCCACUUUUUUUAUCCUGUAUAAUUUGAUUUUUUAACAGCUAAAAAAAAUCAGGGCACUGCAGACAGGGUACUUAAUAUGAUUUAGACUCUUUCCAUGUAUGCUGUAUGAAAUCACUGUAUGAAAUCCACGCCUGCUGGAUUUAUGACUCACAAAUCAAACGCAGAUGCAAUAUUCAGAGUCAGGAUCUGGAUGACUCUGGAUGAGUAGAAGAAAACAUGUCUGAAAAUAUUUUGCAGUCAUUGUGACCCAUAAGAGUUAUAGUAAGUGUCCUACUCCUUGUCAUGGGCCUGCAUGUGAGUUAUGAUACGUCCACGUCAAGAACAACAAACAAAAAAAAAACCCUAAGUAUGGAAACUCAAAAAAAAAAUUGUCAUUUGACUUUUGGUCUACAAAAAUCUGUGGAGCCACAGAGGACUACAGAAUGCGGUGAUCCCCAAAGGCCAUUCCUGAGUAUGUUCCCUGGCCAGGCACCACCACCUCUAGCUGCUCGUAGCUGCUCUUCCUGGUUCUGGUUAUUUCCUGAAAUCACUGGAAACAGAACAUAAUUUUCUAAUAAGCUUACUAGCUAAUUAUGCUGCUAUGUUCUAGUCUCCAUCUCCAUUUCCAUUU